UCUCGAUCAAGCAGAGUUGUCUGCAUUUUUACCGUUGUCUUCAACGGUCUCCCUCGCUGGACACGAGGAGUACAUCGUGAGGGGCGGGCGGAACCUCUUCCCACUGCUCCCUAAAGCGUUCAAGGGCGUCAAGCUGAUCGGAGUCAUCGGAUGGGGCUCCCAGGUUCAGUUUGCUCCCCUCACUGCAUUGUUUCUUUCCUAACUCUCAAUAUUUACAUGUCUAUCUACUCGAGACACUACCUGAAUAUACACAUCAGUCUGUGUGUUCAAAUUGAGUGAUGGAUUCAACACAUAUUUGUUCUAUUCUGCUACUUGGGUUUGAGUCUGUAAGUCAUGGAAUCAACACAUCAGUCGCUGGCUCACGGAAUGUUUUGGGGGUGCUUUUUCAGGGUCUAGCGCAGGCUCAGAACCUGAGAGAUUCUUUGGUUGAAGCCAAGUAUGACAUCGUCUUUAAGAUCGGUCUCAGGAAAGGUUCUAAAUCUUUUGAGGAAGCACGUGCAGCUCGGCUCACUGAGGAGAACGGGACAUUGGGAGACAUACGGAGACGGUUUUGGGCAGAGAUCUUGUGCUUCUGCUCAUCUCAGAUUCUGCACAGGUGCACAUCAUGGUAACUAGCUUUAUGCACGAUUUUAAGAUUUCCUUUGUCAAGUGUUUGUUUAGAUUAGGCUCAGUUUCAGGACGAUGUUUCCUUGCAUCAUGUUGGUUUAAUUAAUUAAUUUAACUUGCAUACUCUUUAUGGAGCAUACUAUGAAUCAUUCACUGCAUGAUACAUUUUCUGAGUCCCGCCAUCACUUAAUUCUAUCCUUGUAACAGAAGUUAUUAUCGCUUCGGAACUAAAGAGUUGAAGGCCUGAAGCCAAAUGUUCCUAAUCAGGCAGAUGACCCGCACAACUCCUGUGAAACAAGGCCAACACUAUGUGCCAAGAUUGUAUUGCUUCAUGAAGACACUUUUUUUAUCAUUCAUUUUUAUUAUUCAAUUCUCUACAUGGUCGGCAUAGAUACUUCUAUUAGAUGGAUUCAUCACUAUUUUUCAUGAUUUUUUGUAAACAUAACUCCCUUUAUACUGAUAUAUAUUUGUGAAAAGGAGAGCUUCCGCCACAUUGAAGUUAAUUAAUCUCAAUAUGAAUUCAGAAUUCAAUACUCA